AAGAAACUAUGCUAUUAUCCAGCUGUAAUUAAACCAUUAGAGAGAUUUUUCAGGAUCACAGGCGUAACUCAGGAAGCAGAAAGCCUAAAAUGAAUGAAUAAAUAAAAGGCUAGCAUGUGUAAUCAGAUGAAUUUAUCCAGGGGAGGAGGAAUAGGACAGAGCCAGAACCUUGGAAUGCCAUAAUUCAUCUAUGACACUGGAUGAUUCCCAAUCAUAUUUGUGGCUACUGUCCCACUGAAUUUUUCCAUCUGCUCUGCUUGUAAAGGGUAUUAUUCAAGACUACUGGCAUAGUUUUCAAACUUCCCUUGUUACAAGGAAUGUCAGAGCGUUUAGACCCUGAUAUUCUCCUGUUUCACAUACAUUGACACCUAUUCAUUUUUAUUGUUGAACGUAUUUUAUACAGAAGAUAGUGAAUCAUUAUACUGAGGCUAUAGAACUUAUUCUGAAACCAUCACACGUUGCAUCACACCUUUGAGCCUUGGCUGGAAGAGAGCUCUGUCUGGCAGUAAGGAAGGAGAGAAUCUUGCGUUUAAUUUACUAGAUAAUUUUACUCUUUUUUUUCUUUCUUUUAUUUUCAUAAAAAGUACCAUGGCCACCUACCUUUCCUUCAGAAGUCCACACUGGUUCUCUUCGCGCAUGAAGGUUUACAUGGAAUAGACUUUUCAAGCUUUGGUGUCACCUGUUUUUGAAAAAUACACUGAAAACCUAAGCUUUAGGGCUUUUAAAAAAUUGGGAAACACAUUAGUCAAAAAACAAAUGAAAAAAAAAACAACCCACACAAAAAUAAAUCCAACCUCCAAACUGAUUAUGCUGAGUGCUGUCAAGAUGAUGAUGAUGAUGUAUGUCCAAAUUCUUUACUGUGGCUAUGCCACAGAAAUUUUGGAUUGUGUUAUGUUUAAAUGACCAACAUGUUGUACUACUCUAGCUAGCAACUAUGGCUUUUAAUAUCAAAGUUAGUUUUUCUAUAUAAGCAUAAGAAACCUCUGUAAGCCAUUAAAGUUUGUUUUGUUACAGUUGUUUAAGUUAAUGUCUGAAAAUAACUUCAUUUCUGAUUGAGUUCUCAUAUGCCAACUUAUAGUCCGAAUGGUCUGGAGGUGUUUUUUUUUCAUGAUGAGGGAAGAGGUGUGGAGGGAGGGAUUGGAGGAUGGCGUCUUAAAAACUACUUGAUUAAAGUUCGUCAUUUCUGUUUGGGGAAAAAAAAAAGUCAUACCAACUUAGAUGAUUUGAAAAUAUUGGAUUUUAUGUUAUAUUGCUAUUCUGAAUAUUAUUUCGAAGUUUUAUUCAGAUAAUAAAGCAAUAAAGAAUUCUGGUAAAUCC
rnacentral:lncRNA from 7 species